GCCCUACUGUAAUUCUUCGUUUAUUGACAGCCGCUCUUAUCGGAAAAGAAAAACAAUAUAUUUUGAUUUGUAAUUAAGGCCUUUUAGAACAAGAAUUUAGUAUAGGAUAAAAGCGCUAAAAAUUUUGAAGAAGAUAGAGCUCUCGAUUUUUUGAUUAAAUGCCUAAAAGAUGUGGGUGUUUAUGUAUCAAAAAGCCUACUGGGGCGCUAAAGGUGUUUAAAAAGAAUGUGGCUGUAAAAUACAUUUAGUGGUCUUGAGAUCUGCCCAGGUGGAUUAGUCUUUCAAUCAAGUUAAUCAGUUAAAAUAGCAUCUUCUUUUUAUGUACUUUCGAUCUUACAGCAUAGAUCUGAAGUGUGAAAAUGGUACACUAACAUGUAAAAGUGUUACUUUUAUAUGACCACUGAAGCAUUUGUGAAGAGUUUACAUCGCACCUGUUAAAAAGCAUUUGUUUACGUCAAUGUUACCAAGUUACAGUAAUUUACAUGUUUAUUCUACUUUUAUAUUCAACAAAUACCACAAAUACCAUCCUAUGAUUACAUUAAAGAGGCGUCAAUAACUUCUUACAUGCAAAAUGUUGGUAAUAUAACAAGCCUUAUGAAGCACAAAAAAGUACUAUCAGUGUAGACAAAUUGAUAUGUAGAGAGUAUUGCAAAGGCUUUAAAACAGGUCCAAGUUACAUACAGAAUAAGUAAAUAAGCACAUUUACGUAGUAGGACUUGUUAAUUACAUUGUAAGAGAAAAGACUCUCAAAAUGGCGAUUUAUCUGCAAUUAUAACAGAGGGUUUGUGGUUGAAAGUGUAAUUUCUUACUAU